rnacentral:rRNA from 1 species
AUUGAACGCUGGCGGCAGGCUUAACACAUGCAAGUCGAGCGGAGAUGAGGUGCUUGCACCUUAUCUUAGCGGCGGACGGGUGAGUAAUGCUUAGGAAUCUGCCUAUUAGUGGGGGACAACAUUCCGAAAGGAAUGCUAAUACCGCAUACGCCCUACGGGGGAAAGUAGGGGAUCUUCGGACCUUGCGCUAAUAGAUGAGCCUAAGUCGGAUUAGCUAGUUGGUGGGGUAAAGGCCUACCAAGGCGACGAUCUGUAGCGGGUCUGAGAGGAUGAUCCGCCACACUGGGACUGAGACACGGCCCAGACUCCUACGGGAGGCAGCAGUGGGGAAUAUUGGGCAAUGGGCGGAAGCCUGAUCCAGCCAUGCCGCGUGUGUGAAGAAGGCCUUUUGGUUGUAAAGCACUUUAAGCGAGGAGGAGGCUACCUGGAUUAAUACUCUAGGAUAGUGGACGUUACUCGCAGAAUAAGCACCGGCUAACUCUGUGCCAGCAGCCGCCGUAACAC